ensembl:lincRNA
AACAAUAUGAUGCGUUUGUGAAGUUUACGCAUGAUCAAAUAAUGCGACGAUAUGGAGAACAGCCUGCUAGUUAUGUUUCAUGAAUCACGUAUCCUGCAUUUGUGGGCUGCCUUGUUCCUUGUUGAGUUGUUGCAAGAGGUCCCAAUUAUGACAUGCAGCAAUGCCAAUACCCCUUCUGUGAAUACAGGUUAUUUCAAGCUUUCGUCAGUGGCAACCACUCUUAGGCAGCAGCAACUGGUUUUGGAAAUUUCCCUGAUGUCAGUACCACCUGGAUGUGGACCUUUGCUACCUGUAUUAAUACCAGUGGCCUCAUUUUGCUGUAUCAUUACAAUUUGGCUUCUUAUAUUAAUGUUUGAAAAGGAUUAAAGCUGGUAUUCUAGAACAUGCCCUUCACUGGUUGUGUAAAUAAAACUGUAGAAUGACACUUCAGAUGAAGUUAGUGUGAUUUUAAUUGUGCACUACAACCGAGCUGUAACCAGUUACUAAUUUUAGAAUGUAAUCCCAGGACAAUAUUAAGCAAAUAGCCUGCAGUGCUUCCUGUGAAAUAGUGAAGGAGGAGGGCAUUUCUGUAUUCCAGGACUUCUUGGGGUUUCAGAAUGGGUUUAUAUGUAUUUUUUUUUUUUUGUAGUUUUAUUUAUUCUAUCAGUCUUUUUAACAAAUGUUUAUUGCUGCAUUUUUUUUUCCAGUGUAUCAUUGUUUUACUGCCCUUGUAGUACUGGAAUUUAGUUGGAAGAAUAAAACAUUUACUUCUAUUUUGCUUGUUUCUUAAUGUACAGAUGGGGUUAGUAUUUGAAUAAAGUUGGUGUUUUAAAACGUAAGCAUUUUCCAGGAAUCAGUGAAGUUAAUUUUCUAAGAUUUGAGUGCUAUUUCAAAACACUGAGUUCUGAUUCUAAAUGCCUUCUUCUGCCGGGCGCGGUGGCUCACGCCUGUAAUCCCAGCACUUUGGGAGGCCGAGGUGGGAGGAUCACGAGGUCAGGAGAUCGAGACUAUCCUGGGUAACACAGUGAAACCCCAUCUCUACUAAAAAAAAAAAAAUAAUAUAUAUAUAUAUAUAUAUAUAAAUUCCUUCUUCUGUAACUUACUGCCUGAUAGAAUGUUACAGGUAUUUUAAUUGCUAUAGAAUUACCUCAGAUAUCAGUAGAAUCCAGUUUUUCUUUUAAGAACUUGAUAUGCAAAAGCAUGAUUCAGCAAAUUUGACUCCCUUUCCAUACAUGGUUUCUAGACAUAGCUUUCUUAGAAUGAAGUAAGCAAAAACAUGCUUCAGUGAAUUCAUUUGUUGAAUUCUAGUAGCAUAUUUCCAAAAUUUAAGACAAUCUUAAAUACACAUUUAUAACUGACCAAGUUAGAAGAAAAAGGAAUUUUUUUUUUUUUAAGAUAGAGUUUUGCUCUUGUUGCCCAAGCUGGAGUGCAGUGGCACGAUCUCGGCUCACUGCAAUCUCUGCCUCCCAGGUUCAAGCGAUUCUCCUGCCUCAGCCUCCUGAGUUGCUGGCAUUACAGGAAUGUGCCACCACGCCCGGCUAAUUUUUUGUAUUUUUAGUAGAGACAGGGUUUCACCAUUUUGGCCAGGCUGGUCUCGAACUCCUGACCUCAGGUGAUCUGCCCACCUCGGCCUUCCAAAAUGCUGGCGUGAGCCACUGCGCCUAGCCAGAUCUUUUUUUUAUUUUUAGCUUUGGUAAUUACAUUUCACCAAUUCUCUGUUUAAAACAAGCCUAGAAAGUGGUUUCACAAGGUGCCCAGGCAAUUUAUAUGCCAAUUAGUGGUUGAGAAACAUUGGUAUAGCACAGGGUGGCAAUAAGGUGCAUAAUUCUAUGCCCUUCCCCCC